rnacentral:rRNA from 1 species
AACGGGUGAGUAACGCGUGAGGAACCUGCCUCAAAGAGGGGGACGAACAGUUGGAAACGACUGCUAAUACCGCAUAAGUCCACGGGUCGGCAUCGACCAGAGGGAAAAGGAGCAAUCCGCUUUGAGAUGGCCUCGCGUCCGAUUAGCUAGUUGGUGAGGUAAUGGCCCACCAAGGCAACGAUCGGUAGCCGGACUGAGAGGUUGAACGGCCACAUUGGGACGGUGAGACACGGCCCAGACUCCUACGGGAGGCAGCAUG